rnacentral:misc_RNA from 1 species
GAACUCAGGGCUUCAGAUAGAAAUAAUAAUAUUUUUGUCCGAUAAAAAUUUUAGCAUUUUGAAGACCAGAAUUCAUUUACAAAUUCUAUUAAAAUUGACAGAAUUUUGGAUUAGUUAUAACAAAUUUUAUGGAAUUCUAAAUUUAAAUUUACAAACGAAUUUUGAUUUAUACCAAACAUUAUAGAAAUGGAUUUAUAAAUGAAUUCCGCAAAAUAUUGUGGAAUUUAUUUAUACCAAACAGGGUCUAACAACCAAUAAAAAACAGAAAUAACUCAGGGCAUUGAGCUGUUUGAGCUAAGGAAUUCCAUUCUAACAUCUGCCCCAGUACCCCUGAUUCUUUGUAACACAGAUAAAACAUGAACGCAAAGGAAACCAUAACCACAGCUGAAUCCUUUACUGACAUUAUUUUGUUUUAGUGAAGACAACAGCAUUUGUCAAUCAAACCUAUUUCCAGGAAGAGCAAACAAAUAAGAAGAAACAAAGGCCUCAUCUCAGCUAAUUGUGGCUAUGUUUAAGUAGUAAAAUCAGACAAAACAUUACCAUAAGGUAUUAUCAAACAAUAAUCCAACAGAUCACCAGCUAAAUUUUUAAUUCAAGAUUCACGGGACUUCACAAUAAAGUUCUGGCGACUGAUUGGAUUCAUCACAACUGGUGGCCCUGCAGUACGAGGCCAUGCCUGGAAUUUCUUGUCAGUUUCUUCCCACCAUUCCUUGCUUGCAACAGUUUUAGGGGUGGUGCCUCCAAAUAUCUUCUUGUCAGCAAUAAGUUGGUCACUUACAUAUGCAAUUGCAAAUGAUCCAAGUACACCAGCAAUGAUAUACUUGGCUGCCAUGCUCAAAAUCAAUCUGCUAGUGUUUGUCAGAAACCAAACAGAGUAUUAUGAAAUCUGAGAAUGAAACCCUAGGGGAGAGAGAGAGAGAGAGAG